rnacentral:tRNA from 1 species
GAUAGUGUGGCCGAGCGGUCUAAGGUGCUGGAUUAAGCCUCCAGUCUCUUCUGGGGUGUGGGUUCGAAUCCCACCACUGUCA